AGAGUUGAUUAUGGCUCAGGAUGAACGCUAGCGACAGGCUUAACACAUGCAAGUCGAGGGGCAGCAUAGAAGUAGCAAUACUUGGUGGCGACCGGCGCACGGGUGAGUAACGCGUAUGCAACCUACCUAUCAGAGGGGAAUAACCCGGCGAAAGUCGGACUAAUACCGCAUAAAACAGGGGCACCGCAUGGUGAUAUUUGUUAAAGAAAUUCGCUGAUAGAUGGGCAUGCGUUCCAUUAGGUAGUUGGUGAGGUAACGGCUCACCAAGCCGACGAUGGAUAGGGGAACUGAGAGGUUGGUCCCCCACACUGGUACUGAGACACGGACCAGACUCCUACGGGAGGCAGCAGUGAGGAAUAUUGGUCAAUGGGCGGGAGCCUGAACCAGCCAAGUCGCGUGAAAGGAAGAAGGAUCUAUGGUUCGUAAACUUCUUUUGCAGGGGAAUAAAGUGCAGGACGUGUCCUGUUUUGUAUGUACCCUGAGAAUAAGGAUCGGCUAACUCCGUGCCAGCAGCCGC
rnacentral:rRNA from 1 species